rnacentral:miRNA from 1 species
AUACAGGUCGGAAGCCUGUGCCCAGUGGGUGCACAUCCACACACCUGAUCAGAACUUUCUACCUGUCAG